rnacentral:rRNA from 1 species
UACAGAGGUCCCGAGCGUUGUUCGGAUUCAUUGGGCGUAAAGGGUGCGUAGGCGGCGGGGCAAGUCUGAUGUGAAAUCCCGGGGCUCAACCCCGGAACUGCAUUGGAUACUGCCUUGCUAGAGUACUGGAGAGGGAACUGGAAUUUACGGUGUAGCAGUGAAAUGCGUAGAGAUCGUAAGGAAGGCCAGUGGCGAAGGCGAGUUCCUGGACAGUUACUGACGCUGAGGCACGAAGGCCAGGGGAGCAAACAGG